UACGUAGGGUGCAAGCGUUGUCCGGAAUUAUUGGGCGUAAAGAGCUCGUAGGCGGUUUGUCGCGUCGUCUGUGAAAUCCCACAGCUUAACUGUGGGCGUGCAGGCGAUACGGGCAUAACUUGAGUACUGUAGGGGAGACUGGAAUUCCUGGUGUAGCGGUGGAAUGCGCAGAUAUCAGGAGGAACACCGGUGGCGAAGGCGGGUCUCUGGGCAGUAACUGACGCUGAGGAGCGAAAGCGUGGGUAGCGAACAGG
rnacentral:rRNA from 1 species